rnacentral:rRNA from 1 species
UACGUAGGGUGCGAGCGUUAAUCGGAAUUACUGGGCGUAAAGCGUGCGCAGGCGGUUUUGUAAGCCAGGUGUGAAAUCCCCGGGCUCAACCUGGGAAUGGCAUUUGGGACUGCAAGGCUGGAGUGCGGCAGAGGAGACUGGAAUUCCUGGUGUAGCAGUGAAAUGCGUAGAUAUCAGGAGGAAUACCGAUGGCGAAGGCAAUCCCCUGGGCCUGCACUGACGCUCAUGCACGAAAGCGUGGGGAGCAAACAGG